UGUCCUCCAUAGGAGGUCUAUAUUGAGCAGAUUUUUGGUGUUGGGUGGUGGACCUGGAGCUUGCUCCAUCCACUCCAUGCAUUGACCUGGUAUUGCCGUGCUUCCAGGAACGGUGC
ensembl:snRNA U2 U2 spliceosomal RNA